rnacentral:rRNA from 1 species
GUCUGUUUGUAGUUGUAGAGAGUUUAACCUGCCCACUGAUAAAAAUUUAAAGGCCGCGGUAAUUUGACCGUGCAAAGGUAGCAUAGUAAUUAGUUUCUUAAUUGGGAUCUUGUAUGAAUGGUUGGACAAGAAAAAAUCUGUCUUUAUAUUUAUUAUUGAAUUUAACUUUUGAGUGAAAAGGCUUAAAUGAAUUAAAGGGACGAUAAGACCCUAUAAAACUUUAUAUUGUUUAUUAUAUAGUUGAAUUUUAUGGAAUAAAAGCUUAAUAAUAGGAUUUAUUAUAUUGGGGUGAUAAAGGUAAAAUUUUUGAUAACUGCUUAAUUUUUAAAAACAAAAAUAAAUGAAGUGUAAAAUGAUCCUAAUUAAAGAUUAAAAGUUUAAGUUACUUUAGGGAUAACAGCGUUAUUUUUUUUGAGAGUUCAUAUCGAAAAAAAAGUUUGCGACCUCGAUGUUGAAUUAAAAUUUCUAUAUAAUUGCAGCAGUUAUAUAAGAAGGUCUGUUCGACCUUUAAAUUUUUACAUGAUUUGAGUUCAAACCGGCGUGAG